rnacentral:misc_RNA from 1 species
UCUCCGUUGGUGAACCAGCGGAGGGAUCAUUACGGGACUCGCAAGACUCCUUCACUCUGUGUACCUCACUACAUGCACGUUGCUCCGGCGGGUGUCCCGCCGGGGGUUUUCCCUCGCCGGGGCGCACCGCCUGCCGGCAGCCUACGAUACUCUGUCUCAUUGCGUUGGCUUCUCGUGAAAAAACAAACAAGUUAAAACUUUCAACAACGGAUCUCUUGGUUCUG